GUCUUCCUCUUCGCACUUCACUUCGCCGCUGCGGUCUUCCUGCCGUUCCUGGUUCCUCCUGGUUCCUCUCUCACUUCGCCGCUUCGGUCUUCCUGGUCUUGCCUGCCAUCUCUAAUUCCUUAUCCCCUUAAUGGCUUAACUCUAAUCCCUUCUCCAAAGUGUGGUGUGGAUCACUUUUGGAGAAACGGCGUAGAUGACCACUGGUUGGCGGUGCUCGUUGUCGACUGUGGGCUGAAGGUGCGCUGGUGCGGCUGAGCAGGGUGAUUGAGGUGGUGCAGCUGCGGUGCAACUGGUGCGAUUCUAAGCCAAAAA
rnacentral:lncRNA from 1 species